rnacentral:rRNA from 1 species
UACGGGGGGUGCAAGCGUUGUUCGGAAUUAUUGGGCGUAAAGAGCGUGUAGGCGGCGGAAUAAGUCAGAUGUGAAAGCCCUGGGCUUAACCCAGGAAGUGCAUUUGAUACUGUUUUGCUUGAGUACUGGAGAGGGAAGAGGAAUUCCUGGUGUAGAGGUGAAAUUCGUAGAUAUCAGGAGGAACACCGGUGGCGAAGGCGACUUCCUGGCCAGAUACUGACGCUGAGACGCGAGAGCGUGGGGAGCAAAC